rnacentral:misc_RNA from 1 species
CUGGACGGCCAUCUCCAGAUAUAACAAAACCAGAUGGAAGAAUAGGUAUGAUUGAUGAAUCUUCACCGCUAAUUGCUAUGUUCAUGGUUGGAAUGUCAAUGGGAGCAUAUACUAUAAAUGAUCCCAAAGGGUCUGUGCAGCUCUCUUGAAGCAUCACCAUGUUGUUCUCACUGGGUAUAAAAGGCCGAAUGAUGGAUAUGCAGUUGCCUGGAUGAGCACCACCGGAGAUGUGUGCAAUCUCAUGCACUGGGUUUCCAUUGGAGAGUAUGUCCCACUGAACUCGGGUUUUCUCAUCUUUGAAGAAAUUAAAAACAUUCUGGGGAAGGAGAGGAAGCCAAAGAGAAGUAGCCGCACUGACAAUCAUGCCGCCGGGCUGGCCUGUUUCCAUGCUUUUCCGAACAGAAACUCUAACCCCACUAUUUUUCACUUCAGACAACUGAGGAAAAUCCAGCUUACCUGACAUACUUAACAUCGAACAG